rnacentral:lncRNA from 10 species
AGAGGUCACAAUAGUAUAUGUUUUUAUCAAACUGAAUUCUAAUUGUUAGAAGGAUCAAUCUAGUUAAUCAGCAAGCAACUAGUAGGGGUCUGUUCUAUCCCAGAUGAACUCUAGGUAUAAUUCCUAAACAAUGCAAUUUUAAUAUACAAAGGAGGUAAUACAAAAGAGCCUGAGGAUAUUGGCAAGCAUGCAAGCCUAUGCAAAUUAUGCAAGUUCCAUCUAUUUUAAAGUGCUGUAUUGUGUUAUAUAAAUG